GAUGAACGCUAGCGGCAGGCUUAACACAUGCAAGUCGAGGGGUAUAGUAGCAAUACUAGAGACCGGCGCACGGGUGCGUAACGCGUAUGCAACCUACCUUUUACAGAGGGAUAGCCCAGAGAAAUUUGGAUUAAUACCUCAUAGUGUUAUUAGAUGGCAUCAUUUGAUAACUAAAGUUCCAACGGUAAAGAUGGGCAUGCGUCCUAUUAGCUAGAUGGUAAGGUAACGGNUUACCAUGGCUACGAUAGGUAGGGUCCUGAGAGGGAGAUCCCCCACACUGGUACUGAGACACGGACCAGACUCCUACGGGAGGCAGCAGUGAGGAAUAUUGGACAAUGGGCGCAA
rnacentral:rRNA from 1 species